rnacentral:rRNA from 1 species
GAUGAACGCUGGCGGCGUGCCUAAUACAUGCAAGUCGAGCGAACAGACGAUGAGCUUUCUCUUCUGACGUUAGCGGGGGACGGGUGAGUAACACGUGGAUAACCUACCUAUAAGACUUGGGUAACUUCGUGAAACCGGUUCUAAUACCAGCUAAUAUAUUCUACCGCAGGGUUCAAUAGUUAUACACGCCUUUCGUGUUACUAUUAGCCGAUGUCGGAUUAGCUAGUUGGUGAGGUAAAGGCUCACCAAGGCAACGAUGCGUAGCUGAUCUGAGAGGAUGAUCGGCCACACUGGAACUGAGACACGGUCCAGACUCCUACGGGAGGCAGCAGUGGGGAAUCUUCCGCAAUGGGCGAAAGCCUGACGGAGCAACGCCGCGUGAGUGAUGAAGGUCUUCGGAUCGUAAAACUCUGUUAUUAGGGAAGAAAAAAUGUGUAAGUAACUAUGCACGUCUUGACGGUACCUAAUCAGAAAGCAACGGCUAACUACGUG